rnacentral:rRNA from 1 species
UGGGGAAUAUUGCACAAUGGGCGCAAGCCUGAUGCAGCCAUGCCGCGUGUAUGAAGAAGGCCUUCGGGUUGUAAAGUACUUUCAGCGAGGAGGAAGGCGUUGUGGUUAAUAACCGCAGCGAUUGACGUUACUCGCAGAAGAAGCACCGGCUAACUCCGUGCCAGCAGCCGCGGUAAUACGGAGGGUGGAAGCGUUGAUCGGAAGUACUGGGUGUAAAGCGCACGCAGGCGGUCUGGCAAGUCGGAGGUGAAAUCCCCGGGCUCAACCUGGGAACUGCAUCCGAAACUGGCAGGCUAGAGUCUUGUAGAGGGGGGUAGAAUUCCAGGUGUAGCGGUGAAAUGCGUAGAGAUCUGGAGGAAUACCGGUGGCGAAGGCGGCCCCCUGGACAAAGACUGACGCUCAGGUGCGAAAGCGUGGGGAGCAAACA